UCUCUUAUGUAUCGCCACUAUGAUCUGCAUUUAUCAGCUGUCCGGUAUCUGCCCUGUGUGUGUAUUAAGUCGCCUUCCUCUUCUGCGAAUAUUUGGAAUCUGUUCUGCAACUUUAGCCUCUAUUCUUCAUUCUUGUUCUGAAGCUGUCCCAUGUUGAUCUUUUGUCCGCUGCGUUGUCUUAGCUAUCUUUUUUUCACGUUGAAUAUCCAACUUUGGUAUAGACUAGUCAGCGGUCGCUACGGUGCUGAACUGGUUGAGUAUGGAAACGUUUUUGAUUCACUUCAUCCUGGCCAACAACUGUUCAAUCUCAUCUUCAAGAAUGCUGUUGGACAGGAUCAUUCCCAAUGGACAUAUCAAUCUGUACAUUGGGAAUGAUCCAUGUC
rnacentral:lncRNA from 1 species